UUUCCGUAGGUGAACCUGCGGAAGGAUCAUUAUUGUAUAACGCAGGUGCGAGGGCUGUCGCUGACCCGAUCAGUCAUACACGCCCGAGUGGUCUCACACACAUCCAUCUAACCCCUAUGUGCAUUACCGCGAGGGUCCCCAUUUGCCGUGAUCGGUGGAGCGUUCAUGAUUUCUAACGAACUUAGUAUGCAGUGAAGAAUACAUUUUAUAUUUUUGCGAUCACGCAUUGAAUCCAACUUUCAACAACGGAACCCUUGGGCCUAGGAUCGAAGAAGAACG
rnacentral:misc_RNA from 1 species